rnacentral:miRNA from 1 species
CUUAUGUAAGAUUCCCCUCUGC